UGCGCCUGAUCUUGGCUUGGUGAGCUC
rnacentral:piRNA from 1 species